CUUGAUGCAACAUUUAUUUUCUUGUUUCACUAGUUUGGAACUUCCAAGUCCAAAGAACCCUGAAACAGAUAUUCAUAACCAAAUAAUACAGCAAAAUUGAGUGGCAAUGACAGUUGGCCACAAUAUAAUUAUCAUGAACUAAAUCAACUGUCACCAAAUAAUAUUGUCAAUGGUAAAAUCGGAGGGCACUGAUUGUUUGACACA
rnacentral:misc_RNA from 1 species